UACGUAGGGUGCAAGCGUUAAUCGGAAUUACUGGGCGUAAAGCGUGCGCAGGCGGUUUUGUAAGUCUGAUGUGAAAUCCCCGGGCUCAACCUGGGAAUUGCAUUGGAGACUGCAAGGCUAGAAUCUGGCAGAGGGGGGUAGAAUUCCACGUGUAGCAGUGAAAUGCGUAGAGAUGUGGAGGAACACCGAUGGCGAAGGCAGCCACCUGGGUCAAGAUUGACGCUCAUGCACGAAAGCGUGGGGAGCAAACAGG
rnacentral:rRNA from 1 species